GUAAAGUACAUCCGCACAUUGUAAUCAAAACAAUACACAUAUGAUUGUGGACUACUACAGGUUAUGAUGAGUAAAU